GACGAACGCUGGCGGCGUGCUUAACACAUGCAAGUCGAACGGAAAGGCCCUGCUUUUGUGGGGUGCUCGAGUGGCGAACGAGUGAGUAACAAGUGAGUAACCUGCCCUUGACUUUGGGAUAACUUCAGGAAACUGGGGCUAAUACCGGAUAGGAGCUCCUACUGCCUGGUGGGGGUUGGAAAGUUUCGGCGGUUGGGGAUGGUCUCGCGGCUUAUCAGCUUGUUGGUGGGGUAGUGGCUUACCAAGGCUUUGACGGGUAGCCGGCCUUAGAGGGUGACCGGCCACAUUGGGACUGAGAGAGGGCCCAGACUCCUACGGGAGGCAGCAGUGGGGAAUAUUGCACAAUGGGCGGAAGCCUGAUGCAGCAACGUCGCGUUCGGGAUGACGGCCUUCGGGGGGUAAACCGCUUUCGCAGGUGACGAAGCGUGAGUGACGGUAAUGGGUAAAGAAGCACCGGCUAACUACGUG
rnacentral:rRNA from 1 species